rnacentral:lncRNA from 1 species
GCGGCACAGGAGGGCGCGCUGGUGACUUUUCUCUUCGAGAGCAUAGACACACAGAUGUCUCUGGGAAGUCAGCUGGCGGAAAGAUCCCCAACAAUGAUGGUCGAAAAUUCCCGGUACUACACGGGGAAACGCUCACAAGCUCACCCGUCAGAAUCCUGAUCUAGCCCCUCCAUUCCCAUCGUACACGCUCGGCGAGUGAACGGUUGCAGUCGCUGCCAGUUCUCCGUACCAAGGCGUACAGUUGUUGUCCAUGUGUCCAUGGGUUUCCGUUCCAUUUUUGUUUGUCCUUUGCUACGGAGCAAUUCCAAAUUCCGCCCUUACUUGUUGCUUUUCUCCGUAGACUCAGAAUGCAGAGCAGCCGACCAUCGCUGACGAGUCACCUCCUCCGGGCCCGGGAUGCAAAAUUGCGGUCCGGCCCGAUACACGCUACACGGCUGUUUCCAUUCGUUCCCUUUGUUUCCCUCGACGGACUGAUGGCGGCUACCACGAAAUAUCGAGUGCCGCAAGCAGUCCUCUGGAAAGAAAAAAGGUUUAUUGAGAAAAGAGAUGGAAAAUAAUCAAGACCGGAUGCGGCGAGAGCUAGGGUUGUGAGAACCUGGUAGAGUGUAGAAAGCGGAGCGAAGCAUGCAGGUCCUCUUGGUUGUGCUCCCCGUGCAUAAAUAUUUACAUACACAAGGCCAUUCUGUAUGCCUUUCACAAAAAGUUGAGAAGCAGGCUACGUGGCACCUGAUUGGACACUCGAGAACGCAAGACCGCGACACUUCCUAUCACGUGCUACCCCCUGGUUUGGCUUUGUUUUAGGAGAAUCUCUACAGAGCGAGAGCAGUGCGUCUCUUCUGUCCCCCAGUGUUCAUCUCUUCGUGAAAGCGAAGUACGCGUGCCAGAAGAAAGGCAUCUCCCGUGGGAGUACAUAUCUGAGAAGCCAGUGGUAAAAGGUAAUACAGAUACAGAUCGAAACUAGGCAUCCGAGCGGUAGUUAAAUAACAACAAUACCAGUUAUACACCCCUCGAGUCAGAUGGGCGGAAGUACACAAAAAUACGAAGAAAGCUGUUUUAGCACCGUCGCCUUUCUUUCCGCAGCGCCCCCGUUGGUUCCGUCUGCUUUCGCCCCUCUCUUCAUUUCCUUUUCCUGGGUGAAAGCCCCUCCUUCCCACUUGGUCGUCAGAAAGCGUCCAUUCACAUGCUGCCGAUCAUCCUGAGCUCACGAUCUCGGGAGUGAAACCGGAAAUCCUGGACAAGUACACAGAGACAAGGUGCCUGUGGGCUUCCGACACCAUUGUAUAAUCUCAGUAUGCUA